CAGCAGCCACGGUAACACGGAGGGUGCAAGCGUUAAUCGGAAUUACUGGGCGUAAAGCGCACGCAGGCGGUCUGUCAAGUCAGAUGUGAAAUCCCCGGGCUUAACCUGGGAACUGCAUUUGAAACUGGCAGGCUAGAGUCUUGUAGAGGGGGGUAGAAUUCCAGGUGUAGCGGUGAAAUGCGUAGAGAUCUGGAGGAAUACCGGUGGCGAAGGCGGCCCCCUGGACAAAGACUGACGCUCAGGUGCGAAAGCGUGGGGAGCAAACAGGAUUAGAUACCCGAGUAGUCCCUGUCUCUUAUAC
rnacentral:rRNA from 1 species